rnacentral:tRNA from 1 species
GGGGUUGUGGCUCAGUGGUAGAGUGUUUGACUGACACAUGUGAGGCCCUGGGUUCUAUUCUCAGCACCACUU